rnacentral:rRNA from 1 species
UACGGAGGGUGCAAGCGUUAUCCGGAUUUACUGGGUUUAAAGGGUGCGCAGGCGGAUAUGUAAGUCAGUGGUGAAAUCUCCGGGCUUAACCCGGAAACUGCCGUUGAUACUAUAUAUCUUGAAUGCCGUGGAGGUAAGCGGAAUAUGUCAUGUAGCGGUGAAAUGCUUAGAUAUGACAUAGAACACCAAUUGCGAAGGCAGCUUACUACGCAAUGAUUGACACUGAGGCACGAAAGCGUGGGGAUCAAACAGG